CGCGUAGGCGGUUUGUUAAGUCGGAUGUGAAAGCCCCGGGCUCAACCUGGGAAUUGCAUACGAUACUGGCCGACUAGAGUACGAGAGAGGGAGGUAGAAUUCCACGUGUAGCGGUGAAAUGCGUAGAUAUGUGGAGGAAUACCGGUGGCGAAGGCGGCCUCCUGGCUCGAUACUGACGCUGAGGUGCGAAAGCGUGGGUAGCAAACA
rnacentral:rRNA from 1 species